GUAAGUGGAACUGCAAACAUGGAAUGAAUAAGAAAAAAAAGGGACAUUCAAUGUUGUAUAGGCUGUUCUGUUGUGUGUUCUGUGUGUUCUGUUGCCCUUAAGUUUAGACCAAACCUGAAUCGCAGCAUGAAGUGAUUUACUGAUAAAGAAAGUUUAUGUAACAGUGCAUGGUUUCUGAACCUAAAAUUCAGCAGCGUGUGAACGGGACUUUUAUUUUGAUCCGUCAGUGACAUCACAUGGCUGGACCGCUCUCCUCUGGCUCAACAAAGGAGCAAGAAACUGAGAACAUCUGAAAUCUGUGUGACAUACUAUUAUCAAGAUGGCAUUUAUUAAAGAGGAGAUCGAAGACGUGAGCAUUUCAGAAACAUUCAGAGUGAAAAAUGAAGAUGCAGAGGAUGACACAGCCAUCCAGCUAAACAAGACUGUCAACAUACUCUCAGCAGUUUUUUAACAGCACAUGUAAGUGUGUCAUGUUCUGUUCAGCUGAUGAUACUUCUCUUCUAUUCUCCACUACGCAGAUGCUGUCACACCCCACAGACUCAUCAUCUGCAAAGAUCAACUGCCACUCAUUUUUACAAAAAUACACAUAAUGAUGGAUGUGAACACAUCACAGGCAGCUGCAAAAAAUGUUUUAAUUGGAACUUUGCCUUUGUUUCUAUUUGUAUUUGUGUGUCUAUUUGUUCUAUUAUAUUUAAUUUACAUUCAAAUGUCGUGUAAUUUUUAUGCUUUCAUGUAAUGAUUUUUUAGAGCAUUGUCAUUUUUGCUAUAAUUUCCCAUGUCAAUAAAAAACAUAAUUUACAUAACUUGCUGUCUUUUUUUUUUAAUCGUAGGAUGAUGCAAUGUAUAAACGGCCUUAGAC
ensembl:lncRNA